GACGGGGCGCCCGGGGGGGACCUCUCAGCGGGAUGGGGCCCGUGGGGGAGGGGCAACCUUCCCCUUGGGGACAAAUGACCCCUCCUCAGGAGUCGGGCGAGGGAGUAAUGACCCCCUCGAGACGGCGGGGAAAAUUGGCAACUAGAGGGGGAAUGGAGGAAACAACCCCACUGCCACUCCUUGAACAUACUUUUUCCCACCGUUUGUUCAUUCCCUUCAGUUCAAAGGACACCAUCAAGGAAGCAAAAAGACAAUCCACGGAAUGGGAAAAAUAUUCGUAACUCGCAUAUCUCAUAAAGGGAAAUGCAAAUCAAAAUCACAAUGAGACGCUUCAUCCCACUAUCAUGGCUAUAAUCCAGAUGGACAAUCAAAAAGAUGGCAAGGCUGUGGAGAAAAUGGAAGCCUCACACACUGCUGGUGGGAAAGUCGAAUGGUGCAGCCACUUUGGAAAACGGUUUGGCAAUUCUUCAAAGUGUUAAACAGAAUUACCAUGUGACCUAGCAAUUCCACUCCCAGGAUAAGCCAGUUCACUGCAAAGUUCUUCCUCUGAAAAUUGCCCUUCCUCACAGAGAUGGCCCCAGCAGCCAUUUUUAUACUAUGUGACCUUGACCUUAUCGGUUGAACAACAGCAGGAACCUGACCCCAACAGGAUCAGUCAGUCUCUCCUCUGGCACUGUUGCACUGGGAGAGAGGCAGCCCUUUGUUCUCUACAAGUGACUGGGAACCGAAUCGAGUAACCUCGGGUUGUGGCAGAGUCACAUUCAUGGAGAAGCCAAUAAAUGGAAUCUGCAGAAGCGAAAGAAUGACUCAGAUGGGCAAAGGGACGCAGAGGCGAGAGCGCCUAAGAAAAUGGCCUCUCGGUUUUUUGCUGAGUUUCUGCUUCUGGAUCUGCCCCUUUGGUUCACCUUCACCUAUAAGAUACCCCUAUAACCUUAUAAUAAAUGUUCAUUUUUCCAUAAGCGGAUAGGCUUCUGAAACUUGGAACUGAAAAUAUUUUGGUUAUGGGGCUAGGUUCCAAGAGAUGAAAAAUGUACUGUCACCGGUAACGUGGGUGGUAAAACAAAUGUUUGUAUGAGUGCAGCAAAUUAGAGGUGGGAGGCACCUCCUGAGGCCACCAAUAUUAAGAGCAGCAGUAAUUGCCCCCCCGCCCCCAAAAAAAGAAAGAAGGCCCUAUAAAAAGCCAAGAACUCCAAAAAGCUCUUCAGUCUGGGAUGACUUAAUUGAGAGGCCAGCAGUAGCUAAUCUUGUGUGCCACAGGGUGUCAUUUGAUUAUAGCAUGGUAACAAUGAUGUUUGUCACAGUGGCCUUGAGCCACAAAAGCCCAGGCAGAUGAAGCGGUAUCCUUUGUUCAGGAUUAUCUGUAAUGAAAAACUGUUUAAAUGCUCAGACAUUUAAAGAUGUAAGGUUCACUUUUCUGGUACACAGACAUUGUGAAAUAGGUCAUUUUAUAUCAUAGUGACAGAUACCUGUGGUCCAAACGUAUAAUUAUAGACACCUCCAGAAAUAGCACAUCUCUUAAAUGAGGAACAAAAGUGAGGCAUUUUAAAUCAUUUUAUAAUUUUGCUAUUUCUUUUCCCAUGGAGGUUGAAGCUUUUGUGGAACAUAGGAAAAAAAAAACCUGACUCUUAUCUAAGAGGCUAUAUGCUGAUCACAGAUAAUCCUCUGUGCCAUUUGCUAGGUCAGUGGGUCUCAAAUCUAUCAGCUCCAAUGUCCCUCUAAAAAGCAAUAGUUGCUAAUAUCCCAUUAGUAGUCCUGAAAGAAAUUAAUAUGGAAUAGAAUCUGUCUGCACUCAAAUGUAUAUAUGUUGGUUUGCAUUUUCAUAGCAAUGUUGAGUUUUUCACAUGUUUAUUGGCCGUUUGUGUAUCUUUGGAGAAAUGUUCAGCUUCUUUGCCCAUUUUUAAGGUGGGUUGUCUUCUUAUUUUAAGUCGUAAGAGUUCUUUAUGUAGUCUAGAUAGUUUUUUGAUCAGAUAUAUGAUCUGCAAAUGUUUUCUUCCAUUCAGUACAUACUGUAAAUGACAGAUUAUUCAAGUGGAAAAAACGGGAAGUAGGAUAUUCUUGCAGAUGAACUGGACCUAUUUUUGUAAUUGUGUCUUGAAAUCUCAGGAUAUUUGACAUUUGAUCUCUGAGAUGUAAAAAGACCUUGAAGACCACAUCCUUUGAUAGGCAACAGAAACUAGAAGAUGGAUCGGGAAAAGAAGCCAUGAAUACGAGAGGUGAUGGAGCAGUCGUGAGGUCGUGUGGGGACUGUGUCUGAUUUUACUGAAAACAACAGUGCUGAAGAGUGAGUACUGUGUGUGCCAGGCUGUGUGUGGGUAGAUGUGAGGUUAUUUACUAGGUGUGCAUCCUUAGGUGAGUUAUUUGCUUUUCAGGAGCCUGUUUCUUUAUAUAUAAAAUGAAGAUCGGUGGUGGUGUAUCAAAUAUGACAUCACCUGUACGAUAAUAGUAACAGGGAGACCGUGCUAAAGGCUUUAUAGGCUUUAUUUCAUUCAAUCUCACAUGAACCGUGAGGGAGACACUGAGAAACAGAACUGAGACUUAGUGAAAUCAUUUCAGUGGUUGAGUUGGGAUCUGAGUCUAUGUCUGUCUGAUUCCAGAAUCUUUGCUCUUAAAGUCUGAAAAUGCUGUGAAAUCAUCUGUCUAUUCCAAAAUGUAUACUAUUAUGUAGGACUAUUUUCCUGGUUCUGUUGCUUGGUGUGUACCAAGGUUAAAGAUAACGAGGAUGGUGGGGUCACCUUGAAAUGGGAGAAAUCUUGCUUGCGGAGAUGAUAGUUAUUGGAACCCCCAUACAUUUCAUCAUGUUCCCUGACAUUAGGGCGCAGUGCAAUCAAAUGUUUUUCAAAUUUACUUAGAAGCUAUUAGAUACCUAAGUAUUUGGAAGGAUUACUCAACAGACUUGGGAAAAUAAGACCCAAAGAUAAAGUCCUGUUAGUGUCAAAUCUGGUAACUUUCUAAGGCAGCGUCUUAAUUACUGUGGUAGAAUAAUAACCACCGCCCCGCACAGGAUAGCCAUGUUGUAAUCUCUGGACCCCGUGGACAUGUCACCUUACAUGGCAGACGAGCCUUUGCAAGUGUGAUUAAGUUAAGGAUCUUGAGAUAGAGAGGUUGUCCUGGGUUAUUCAGGUGGAUCUAUUUUAAUCACAAGUGUCCUUAAGACAUGGAAGGGACGGGCCGAACAAUCAGUCCCUGAAGGCCGUGUGGCGACAGAAGCACAGGUCACAGAGGAGAAUACUAGUGGAGGCCAUGACCCAAGGAAUGAGGCUGGAAUGGCAAGAAAUGGAGUCCCUCCCAGAGCCUGCAGAGGACUAUAGCCCAGCCAACACCCCAAUUUGAGCUGAUAAGACCUACCGGGAUGUGUGCAUACCCGCCGAGCGAGAAAUUCUUAGUUUCUUUGAGUGGCUCCAGAAAUAACCAAGAUGUGGUGACGCUGUGCCAUUGGUAUGAUGAGAUACCACAGGCCUUUACUGCAAGAUUCCUUUGCAGUUGUCCUUGUACCUGGGCAAAUCUGCCGAAGACAAACCAGCACAUCUGCAUUGGGAAGAAUUUAUCCAAACUCAUCACGCUAGCUUAUUAAGGACAUUCGUUCGUGCAUUCAUCAAACAGUUAUUUAGUCCUUGGUGUUUAUCUGCCUCCAAGAGACAGACAAUAGACAAUAAAGAUAAUAAGUAGAGGCAGUCAAGGAAAACCAUGGAAAUUUAUUAGCAAAUGAUUGUAAUAGUCAAUAUUUAAUAAAAAAAAAAUGUCAUGACCGUAGUUAUAUAUUUUUCUGCAGUUUAUUUACGUUUUUCCCUUUUUCUUAGACUCACCUCUGGCAAGACUCCUAUCUUAUUAAUCUUUCAUAGAACCACCUUUUAGUUUUGUGAGUUGUUUCAGUUGUUCUGUAUUUCAUUGAUUUCUGCCCCAAUAGUAUUAAUUUCCUUCGUGUUUCUUUCAUUUGGUUCUAUUCCUCUUUUCUAGUGUUUUGAGUUGAAUGCUUAGCUCAUGUCUUUUUUAACCUUUUUUAACCUUUCUCGUUUCCUGAUAAAUGUCUAUAAAGCUAUAAAUUUCCCUUCCAAGUAGUGAUUUCACUGUGUCCCACCAAUUUUGUGGGACAAAAUGUUUCAGUGUUUUCUCUCUUCAGUUCUGAAUAUUUC